AUGAACGCUGGCGGCGUGCCUCAUACCUGCCAGUCGAGCGAACGGACGAGAAGCUUGCUUUUCUGAUGUUAGCGGCGGACGGGUGAGUAACACGUGGAUAACCUACCUAUAAGACUGGGAUAACUUCGGGAAACCGGAGCUAAUACCGGAUAAUAUUUUGAACCGCAUGGUUCAAAAGUGAAAGACGGUCUUGCUGUCACUUAUAGAUGGAUCCGCGCUGCAUUAGCUAGUUGGUAAGGUAACGGCUUACCAAGGCAACGAUGCAUAGCCGACCUGAGAGGGUGAUCGGCCACACUGGAACUGAGACACGGUCCAGACUCCUACGGGAGGCAGCAGUAGGGAAUCUUCCGCAAUGGGCGAAAGCCUGACGGAGCAACGCCGCGUGAGUGAUGAAGGUCUUCGGAUCGUAAAACUCUGUUAUUAGGGAAGAACAUAUGUGUAAGUAACUGUGCACAUCUUGACGGUACCUAAUCAGAAAGCCACGGCUAACUACGUG
rnacentral:rRNA from 1 species